rnacentral:misc_RNA from 1 species
GAUGAAGAACGUAGCGAACUGCGAUAAGUAAUGUGAAUUGCAGAAUUCAGUGAAUCAUCGAGUCUUUGAACGCACAUUGCGCCCCCUGGCAUUCCGGGGGGCAUGCCUGUCCGAGCGUCAUUGCUGCCCUUCAAGCCCGGCUUGUGUGUUGGGUCGUCGUCCCCCCCGGGGGACGGGCCCGAAAGGCAGCGGCGGCACCGCGUCCGGUCCUCGAGCGUAUGGGGCUUUGUCACCCGCUCGAUUAGGGCCGGCCGGGCGCCAGCCGGCGUCUCCAACCUUUUAUUUUACCAGGUUGACCUCGGAUCAGGUAGGGAUACCCGCUGAACUUAAGCAUAUCAAUAAGCGAGGA